GACGAACGCUGGCGGCGUGCUUAACACAUGCAAGUCGAACGGUGAAGCCCAGCUUGCUGGGUGGAUCAGUGGCGAACGGGUGAGUAACACGUGAGUAACCUGCCCCUGACUCUGGGAUAAGCCUUGGAAACGAGGUCUAAUACCGGAUACGAGACGCUCGUGCAUGCGAAGUGUCUGGAAAGAUUUAUCGGUCAGGGAUGGACUCGCGGCCUAUCAGCUUGUUGGUGGGGUAACGGCCCACCAAGGCGACGACGGGUAGCCGGCCUGAGAGGGCGACCGGCCACACUGGGACUGAGACACGGCCCAGACUCCUACGGGAGGCAGCAGUGGGGAAUAUUGCACAAUGGGCGCAAGCCUGAUGCAGCGACGCCGCGUGAGGGAUGAAGGCCUUCGGGUUGUAAACCUCUUUCAGCAGGGAAGAAGCGCAAGUGACGGUACCUGCAGAAGAAGCGCCGGCUAACUACGUGCCAGCAGCCGCAGUAAUAC
rnacentral:rRNA from 1 species